AAGCGCUGCACUCCAGAAAGCUCAGUCUUACCCUCUGUCUCUGCUGCUAGUGCUGCAAGUGGGAUAGCUGCUCAUCACAAAGCACCAGUUCAGUCCUCAAAACCGAUCCUCAUUUCACGCCCGAGUGUUGCUUCUGUUGCUUUCUCAAACCCGUGGUUUGUAGUGAUUUUCUCCUACCCUUUCCCUCCCCACGUCCGCUAUAGACCGUGAAUCGAGCAACGAUUUUUAGAGCAAAUGUUUGUUCGCCUUUCUUUUCUUCUAUUCUGCCUUUUGCGGAAUCAAGCUGAGACUUGCUGCUUCAAUGACUGCUAAAAUGUAGCGUCACCUACCUGGGUAAGUGGGAAAUAAACUUUAAUGGUAAAGCUC